rnacentral:rRNA from 1 species
GACGAACGCUGGCGGCGUGCCUAAUACAUGCAAGUAGAACGAAGUUGGGAGCGUGUGAGUAACGCGUAGGUAAUUGCCUGGUAGAGGGGAGUAACUAAUGGAAACGAUAGCUACUACCGCAUCCUACCAGAUGGGCGUGCGUUGUAUUAGCUAGUUGGGGAGGUAACGGCUCACCAAGGCAACGAUACAUAGCCGACCUGAGAGGGUGAACGGCCACACUGGGACUGAGACACGGCCCAGACUCCUACGGGAGGCAGCAGUAGGGAAUCUUCGGCAAUGGAGGAAAGCCUGACCGAGCAACGCCGCGUGAGUGAUGACGGUUUUCGGAUUGUAAAGCUCUGUUGUUAAGGACGCGGUACCGGAACAGAAAGGCACGGCUAACUACGUGCCAGCAGCCGCGGUAAUAC